UACGGAGGGUGCAAGCGUUAUCCGGAUUCACUGGGCUUAAAGGGCGCGUAGGCGGGCAGGUAAGUCAGUGGUGAAAUCUCCGAGCUUAACUUGGAAACUGCCGUUGAUACUAUCUGCCUUGAAUAUUGUGGAGGUGAGCGGAAUAUGUCAUGUAGCGGUGAAAUGCUUAGAUAUGACAUAGAACACCAAUUGCGAAGGCAGCUCGCUAAACAUAUAUUGACUCUGAGGCACGAAAGCGUGGGGAUCAAACAGG
rnacentral:rRNA from 1 species